GGGGGUAUAGCUCAGGGGUAGAGCGCUCGCUUAGCAUGCGAGAGGGCUGGGGUUCGAUUCCCCAUACCUCCA
rfam:Steinernema glaseri strain NC unplaced genomic scaffold GLAS_2294, whole genome shotgun sequence.